rnacentral:snRNA from 1 species
GAGAUUGGCAGUUCAUAUACGAAAACUGGAAUGAUACAGAGAUUAGCCUGGCCCCUGGGCAAGGAUGACACAGACAUUCACGAGACAUUCCUUUUUCUU